rnacentral:rRNA from 1 species
UACGUAGGGUGCGAGCGUUGUCCGGAAUUAUUGGGCGUAAAGGGCUCGUAGGCGGUUUGUCGCGUCGGGAGUGAAAACCCAGGGCUUAACCCUGGGCUGGCUUCCGAUACGGGCAGACUUGAGGUAUUCAGGGGAGAACGGAAUUCCUGGUGUAGCGGUGAAAUGCGCAGAUAUCAGGAGGAACACCGGUGGCGAAGGCGGUUCUCUGGGAAUAUCCUGACGCUGAGGAGCGAAAGUGUGGGGAGCGAACAGG